rnacentral:rRNA from 2 species
UUUAAGCAUAUCAAUAAGCGGAGGAA